rnacentral:rRNA from 1 species
AGAACGAACGCUGGCGGCAUGCCUAACACAUGCAAGUCGAACGAGACCUUCGGGUCUAGUGGCGCACGGGUGCGUAACGCGUGGGAAUCUACCCUAGGGUGCGGAAUAACUCGGAGAAAUCCGUGCUAAUACCGCAUAAUGUCUUCGGACCAAAGAUUUAUCGCCCUGGGAUGAGCCCGCGUAGGAUUAGCUAGUUGGUGGGGUAAAAGCCUACCAAGGCGACGAUCCUUAGCUGGUCUGAGAGGAUGAUCAGCCACACUGGGACUGAGACACGGCCCAGACUCCUACGGGAGGCAGCAGUGGGGAAUAUUGGACAAUGGGCGAAAGCCUGAAUCCAGCAAUGCCGCGUGAGUGAUGAAGGCCCUAGGUUGUAAAGCUCUUUUACCCGGGAUGGAUAAUGACAGUACCGGAGAAUAAGCUCCGCUAACUCCGCGCCAGCAGCCGC